rnacentral:rRNA from 1 species
UGCCAGCAGCCGCGGUAAUACGGAGGGGACAAGCGUUAUUCGGAAUUAUUGGGCGUAAAGGGCGCGUAGGCGGCAAGUCAAGUCAGGGGUGAAAUCCCUCGGCUCAACCGAGGAACUGCCUCUGAAACUGUCUUGCUUGAGGCCGGGAGAGGGUAGUGGAAUUCCCAGUGUAGCGGUGAAAUGCGUAGAUAUUGGGAGGAACACCGGUGGCGAAGGCGGCUACCUGGACCGGUUCUGACGCUGAGGCGCGAAAGUGUGGGGAGCAAACAGGAUUAGAUA